CUUGAACGCUGGCGGCAGGCCUAACACAUGCAAGUCGAGCGGAGCGGCGGACGGGUGAGUAAUGCCUAGGAAUCUGCCUGGUAGUGGGGGAUAACGUCCGGAAACGGGCGCUAAUACCGCAUACUAUCAGAUGAGCCUAGGUCGGAUUAGCUAGUUGGUGGGGUAAAGGCCUACCAAGGCGACGAUCCGUAACUGGUCUGAGAGGAUGAUCAGUCACACUGGAACUGAGACACGGUCCAGACUCCUACGGGAGGCAGCAGUGGGGAAUAUUGCACAAUGGGCGCAAGCCUGAUGCAGCCAUGCCGCGUGUAUGAAGAAGGCCCUAGGGUUGUAAAGUACUUUCAGUCGGGAGGCGUUACCGACAGAAGAAGCACCGGCUAACUCCGUGCCAGCAGCCGCGGUAAUAC
rnacentral:rRNA from 1 species